UCUUCCAAAGGCAAGGCUCUGAAUGAACGGGCGAUAUUGGAUUUGUGGUGGAGAAGAUUUCUACGCAAUGAUGGACAGUGAUCUGAAGGCAGUAGAUGACAGCAGUGAAGAGGAGUAAAAGGGCGGUAUACUUAGAUGACAUGAACAUUAAGAAGAAGAGGGCAGGGACACCAACACUCAUCGCAGGCUUGCAGAUGCCUGCCCGGUAGUCCUGCUGAGCAUGCAUGCCUCCGUUGCCAAGGAGACCCAUUCAUUGCUGUCUCCACAUACAAGGCAAGCUGAGGCCUGCUGUUCAAGAUACUGAGGAGUCUGCUGUUUAUCUCUAACCCUCAUCUUAAUCCACACAAGCCCUGCCGUGAGCUCUCCUGUGACAUAGCCCUGUCCAGAGAGAAUGUCAGCUUUCGCUGCCUGCCCGUGGGCUACCUGCUUCUUUUUGCCUGUCUCUGACUCUGUUCAAGUUGCAGCUCUAGCCACUAAUGGACUGUCCUAUCUCCUCUUUCUUCUGCCAGCAAGGUGAUUGCAAUGCCUGUUCGAAUGUGUCUCUGGAGAAGAGCCAGGUGUCUUAAAUGACACUGCUACAGCCUGAAGGGUCUGUAAGAAUUGGGCUGUGGCAAAAUUCAUUUGGAAUCUCAUGUUAGGGAUGGUGCAAGCUGUGAACAGUUAGUGACCCCUCUCCUCCCAGCUCUGCCCUGGCCUCAAACCAGGACUAUCCAAGGGGAGGAUCACUAUCAAUGGAGAAAUCGAAGACAACCAUAAUAAUGAGGCCUAAUGAAAGAAGCCAAAUAUACUAUAUGUAGUUUAUUUAAACUGUACAUGGUAUGCAAUUUUUACAGUAUUGUUUGCCAUUUUUGUUAAAUGUAAUAAACUCUCCUUUUCUUCUAGAAA
ensembl:lncRNA novel transcript